rnacentral:rRNA from 1 species
AUACAUGCAAGUCGAGCGAGGCCUUCGGGCCUAGCGGCGGACGGGUGAGUAACACGUGGGUAACCUGCCUGUAAGACUGGGAUAACUUCGGGAAACCGAAGCUAAUACCGGAUAAUAUUUUUGGUUGCAUGACCGAAAAUUGAAAGGUGGCUUUUAGCUAUCACUUACAGAUGGACCCGCGCCGCAUUAGCUAGUUGGUGAGGUAACGGCUCACCAAGGCAACGAUGCGUAGCCGACCUGAGAGGGUGAUCGGCCACACUGGGACUGAGACACGGCCCAGACUCCUACGGGAGGCAGCAGUAGGGAAUCUUCCGCAAUGGACGAAAGUCUGACGGAGCAACGCCGCGUGAGUGAAGAAGGUUUUCGGAUCGUAAAACUCUGUUGUUAGGGAAGAACAAGUGCCGUUUGAAUAAGGCGGCACCUUGACGGUACCUAACCAGAAAGCCACGGCUAACUACGUGCCAGCAGCCGCGGUAAUACGUAGGUGGCAAGCGUUGUCCGGAAUUAUUGGGCGUAAAGCGCGCGCAGGUGGUUCCUUAAGUCUGAUGUGAAAGCCCACGGCUCAACCGUGGAGGGUCAUUGGAAACUGGGGAACUUGAGUGCAGAAGAGGAAAGU